UCCACGUUGUGCGCGAAAACCACACGAUCCCUCCCCGAUAUUACGCAGUCUAUUUAAACGCAACAUCCACACACCCAUUCCAUUUCUCACCACUUUGGUCGUCUCACCUGCACUCGCGGUGUUCAGGAGAGGAAUCCAGUGAUGGAUCAGGACAAGUACCUGCCAGAGCUCAUUGCCGAGAAGGAGAGCUUGGACCCGUCGUUAGUCCACGCGAUGCGCCUUCUCGCUGAAGAGAUUGAAAAGUUCGAAGGAGACGAGUUGAGAAAAGAUGGCGAGGUGAAGAAAUACUUGGAUAUCAUCAGCAACAAAAACAUCAAACUGUCGGAGCGCGUGCUGAUCCCGGUGCAGCAGUAUCCUAAGUUUAAUUUUGUUGGGAAACUGCUGGGGCCCAGGGGCAAUUCCAUGAAAAGAUUACAAGAGGAAACGGGAGCAAAGAUGUCCAUCCUCGGCAAGGGUUCAAUGAGGGAUAAAGGCAAGGAGGAAGAGCUGAGGAAAAGUGGAGAGGCGAAAUACGCCCAUUUGAGCAACGAUCUUCAUGUUUUGAUUGAAGUUUUCGCACCACCUGGAGAAGCCUAUUCCCGCAUGAGCCAUGCCCUGGAGGAGAUUAAGAAAUUCCUUGUUCCAGAUUACAAUGAUGAGAUCAGGCAGGAGCAACUUCGUGAGCUCUCCUACUUAAAUGGCUCAGAUGACCCCAGCCGAGGAAGAACCGCACGAGGACGAGGCUUACGUCUGACCUCCACAGCAUCCACCCGAGGUCGAGGGAGGGCAGCUCCACCCCCUCCACCUGGACGAGGAGCAGCAGCACCCAGAGGAACUGUGGGUACACGCACCUCCGUCCCCACACCCACACUAGCCAGGGCAGUGUCUGCACCCAGGGCCAGAGGAACUACAGGGACCUCUGGAUACAGAGCCCCAAUACUGCAGGCCACGCACAAAUCAUAUGAUGACUAUGGAUAUGAUGAUGGUUAUGACGGGGAAUAUGAUGACCAGAGUUAUGAGGGCUAUGAUGACAACUACAGCAACAAGUCGAAAAGUGUCUCAGAAUAUUAUGAAUAUGGACACGGUAAUAAUGAUGAAGCCUACAACAAUUAUGCAGAAGAAGACUGGAUAUCAUCGCGGCCCAACCUCAAAGCUCCAGCAUCAAGACUUACUCGAGGGGGCUACAGAGAUCACCCCUAUGGUACCAGUCUCUCUGUGAGCUGAGAUGCAGUGGAUUGAAUCAGACUGGGCACUUUGCAGUCGAUAUGUGGAGCAUACUGAUAAAACCAAUCAGUGAGAAGUGAGGGGGAAAUGCUUAUAAACAGUGUGUGCAGAUGCUGUAUGCCAGUGUUGAGAACUCAUUUCCAUGGAUCUGAACAGAGCUGAUCUUGACAGAACAUCACUGCAGGGCACAGAUGACCACUGCGUAUCCAUCUUGUCUAAAUGAAAUCUGAACAGUCAUAUGAGAUGGACCUCACCCUGGAUUGGCUUAUUCAGAUCACAUAGAAGGUCCAAGCAGAUACAUUUCUUAAGCUGUAUCACAUCCCGUUUGAAUUCUUCAGAGACCCAUAAAUUCAAUAUUGCAUUAUGGUGGUCAGAAGGCAUGCCACAUAUUGUGGUAUAAUAUGAGGCUAUGUUGAUCUUAACAUUGUUUUCAGGUUUAAAUCCUUUCUUAUGCAUAAUGCUAUGCUGUAAAGUCUUGCAUUUUUUGGUAAUAUAUCCUCUUUUCACUUAAUCUUUUUAUCCCACAGGACAAAAAAAAGGACAUAAUUGGAUUAAAUGGCUGUUGAAGAUGGAGUAUAUUUUGUCUAAGUAUGUCAUCUCCGCUAUGUCACCUCAUUGACAGCUAAAUGGGAGGGUUUAACAUGGUGCAUGAAAUCUUGAUAGAUCUACAACCACUUGCAACUGAAUACUUAUGUCUUUAUGCAACAAACAGUUUUGCUUGUAUUUUUGGUGUUAUAAAAGCAGCUUGUUUCUGUGCUUUCUGCCACUGUGACAUCUGUGAGCUUAUGACUCAGUUUGCUCUGCGUAUGUCAUUACUAGCAGUGUUGAAAUACAGCACAAAUUACUCAUCAGAACCUGUGCUUUCAAAGCCUGAGGCUUCAAAAUUUAUUUACCAGUAAGACAAUACGUACAGUAAGUGAAUUUCACACAAAUGCACAUCAUAAUGGAAAUGUGAUGCAUGUAAUCAAAAUCCAGUGCAUAAAUCUUUAAUGGAAAACACACUCUCUUUAAUGCUUUUGAGAUCCUCAGCUGAAUGUGUUUUUGAGCUUUUUCUCCUUGCAGUGAAAAUUUCAAAACAUCCAAUCAUGUUUUUUUUAAAUGCCCUUGAGGUUAUCAACACAGCUCAGACCGAAUUUUAAAAUUCAAUUUCCUUAUGACUGUACAAAUGAAACGGCAUCUUUCUGGAGGAUUUGGAAAGCUUGUAGGAUUCAGCGCAUAUACCUGAAAACAGUCACUAGAUUGUACAGAAUGGUCUAUAGAUUUGUCAAAUAAGAGUUUGCACAUAAUCUCCACUGAAACAGUAAA